rnacentral:rRNA from 1 species
CCUACGGGUGGCAGCAGUGGGGAAUAUUGCACAAUGGGGGAAACCCUGAUGCAGCGACGCCGCGUGAGUGAAGAAGGAUUUCGGUACGUAAAGCUUUAUCAGCAGGGAAGAAAAACCGGCCUUAGGGCCGCCAGACGGUACCCGACUAAGAAGCCCCGGCUAACUACGUGCCAGCAGCCGCGGUAAUACGUAGGGGGCAAGCGCUAUCCGGAUUUCCGGGGUGUAAAGGGGGCGUAGACGGCAGAGCAAGUCUGGAGUGAAAGGCCGGGGCGCAACCCCGGAACUGCUUUGGAAACUGUGCAGCUGGAGUGCAGGAGAGGUAAGCGGAAUGCGUGGUGUAGCGGUGAAAUGCAUAGAUAUCACGCAGAACCCCGAUGGCGAAGGCAGCAUACCGGUGCACAACUGACGCUGAGGCACGAAAGCGUGGGUAUCGAACAGGAUUAGAUACCCCUGUAGUC